rnacentral:rRNA from 1 species
AACGAACGCUGGCGGCAGGCCUAACACAUGCAAGUCGAGCGAACCCUUCGGGGUUAGCGGCGGACGGGUUAGUAACGCGUGGGAAUAUACCCUUUGGUACGGAAUAGCCUCGGGAAACUGAGAGUAAUACCGUAUGUGCCCUUCGGGGAAAGAUUUAUCGCCAAAGGAUUAGCCCGCGUUGGAUUAGAUAGUUGGUGGGGUAAUGGCCUACCAAGUCUACGAUCCAUAGCUGGUUUGAGAGGAUGAUCAGCAACACUGGGACUGAGACACGGCCCAGACUCCUACGGGAGGCAGCAGUGGGGAAUCUUAGACAAUGGGCGCAAGCCUGAUCUAGCCAUGCCGCGUGGACGAUGAAGGCCUUAGGGUUGUAAAGUCCUUUCAGAUGGGAAGAUAAUGACGGUACCAUCAGAAGAAGACCCCGGCUAACUCCGUG